CCUACGGGUGGCAGCAGUGGGGAAUAUUGGACAAUGGGCGAAAGCCUGAUCCAGCCAUGCCGCGUGUGUGAAGAAGGCCUUCGGGUUGUAAAGCACUUUCAGUGGGGAAGAAAGCCUUGGGGCUAAUACCCUCGAGGAAGGACAUCACCCACAGAAGAAGCACCAGCUAACUCCGUGCCAGCAGCCGCGGUAAUACGGAGGGUGCGAGCGUUAAUCGGAAUUACUGGGCGUAAAGCGCGCGUAGGCGGUCUGAUAAGCCGGUUGUGAAAGCCCCGGGCUCAACCUGGGAACGGCAUUCGGAACUGUCAGGCUAGAGUGCAGGAGAGGAAGGUAGAAUUCCCGGUGUAGCGGUGAAAUGCGUAGAGAUCGGGAGGAAUACCAGUGGCGAAGGCGGCCUUCUGGACUGACACUGACGCUGAGGUGCGAAAGCGUGGGUAGCAAACAGGAUUAGAUACCCCUGUAGUC
rnacentral:rRNA from 1 species